CCGCGUUGCCGCGGUCGGGUCCGGUGGUGUCGGCGCUGUGGGCGUCGGAAGCGGCGAUCUACGGCCGUUUCGGCUACGGCGUCGCGACC
rnacentral:tRNA from 1 species